rnacentral:lncRNA from 1 species
GGUAUUUUAACCAAAAGCACAUGUUCAAGAAUGUUGGGGACCUCUUUUACAUUCAAAUGAACUCAAUCGUAAAGAAACGUGUCUAUAUUUUUGACGACGUUUCUGAGUGCGACUGAGAUGAAUCAUGAAUACAGCUGUGACAACACCUUUCAAAUGGGAAUUUCUGAUAGAGAUCGGUGAAUUAUACCAUAAGUUAACACAUGAGAAAUUGGUCAUGAACUUUAUUGUUUUGGAAAUGGUGAAUUUUAUAUGGACAUUCACAAGACUCAUGUUUGUUUCUAUCAACCUAAUCAACGCAAACAAAUUAUGUCGCUUGUGGGAUUUGUUAAAGGAACAAAUGAUUCAGGAUGGUAGAAAGAAUAGCAG